CAUGCAAACACAGGGACACAGAGAGAUCCAGCACCUGGUUAUGGUGACCACCCCAACUCAACUAAGUUCUGUGAAUAUCCAGAAACACAAGAUGAAACAAAACAAAGAGCCCUGUUGGGUCCACUGUGUUCAGAAACCUGCUUUCAUCAGUGACCAUUCUGAGAUCUAUAAAGGAGAUUUCUAAAGGCUGUGUCUACAUCAAGCGGUCUGGACCAGAAUCAUCAGAAUAUCAGCACAGUAGAAGACCUAAGCCCACACUCCUUUGGACAUGAAAGAAUACUGAAUGACAGUCUUCAACAAUUUCAAGGCACUAGGACAAUGGUCAACAACCCGGCACCCACUAGGGUUAUGGCACCCAUGAAGGUUGUUAUUAGACAGCAACAGUGUGUGUGCUUGAUAUCCAUAAACAGGAGCAGUAGGACAUAGUUGACUUCCCAUGGCAAGUGCAAGGUUGCUGGGGGUGGUUGUCUCUCUAACUCUGUGUUAUGCCAUGCUCCCUGUGGCAGCCAAUUUAUGUUACACCACACCUGCUUCAUGGCAGUCAUUUUGUGACUGGUGCCCCCAGCACCCUCUCAACUGUGCCCACUAGUCCAAAAUGGUUGGUGACCUUUGUGCUAGGGAGCCAGUGUUCUAAUAUGGAGGUGUGCAGCAGAAUAUAUACUUACACAUAUGGGUAUACAUGUAUCUGCAACAGAGGAUAAAAUGCAACGCACCUAACGAAGUAAAAUACAGUCCAUGCAAGCUUGUGCCACAAUAAAUUUGUUAGUCUUUAUGACU